rnacentral:rRNA from 1 species
UACCUCAGUAACGGCGAGUGAAGCGGUAACAGCUCAAAUUUGAAAGCUAGCUCUUUUAGGGUUCGCAUUGUAAUUUGUAGAAGAUGCUUCGGGUGUGGCCCCGGUCUAAGUUCCUUGGAACAGGACGUCAUAGAGGGUGAGAAUCCCGUAUGUGACUGGGUGCUUUCGCUCAUGUGAAGCUCUUUCGACGAGUCGAGUUGUUUGGGAAUGCAGCUCAAAAUGGGUGGUAAAUUUCAUCUAAAGCUAAAUAUUGGCCAGAGACCGAUAGCGCACAAGUAGAGUGAUCGAAAGAUGAAAAGCACUUUGGAAAGAGAGUUAAACAGUACGUGAAAUUGUUGAAAGGGAAGCGCUUGCAACCAGACUUGCGCGCUGAUGAUCAUCCGGGCUUCUGUCCGGUGCACUCGUCUGCGCUCAGGCCAGCAUCGGUUUCGGUGGUGGGAUAAAGGCCUUGGGAAUGUAGCUUCUUUCGGGGAGUGUUAUAGCCCUCGGUGCAAUGCCGCCUACCGGGACCGAGGACCGCGCUUCGGCUAGGAUGCUGGCGUAAUGGUUGUAAGCGACCCGUCUUGAAACACGGACCAAGGAGUCUAACAUCUAUGCGAGUGUUUGGGUGUCAAACCCAUACGCGUAAUGAAAGUGAACGGAGGUGAGAACCCUUAAGGGUGCAUCAUCGACCGAUCCUGAUGUCUUCGGAUGGAUUUGAGUAAGAGCAUAGCUGUUGGGACCCGAAAGAUGGUGAACUAUGCGUGAAUAGGGUGAAGCCAGAGGAAACUCUGGUGGAGGCUCGCAGCGGUUCUGACGUGCAAAUCGAUCGUCAAAUUUGCGUAUAGGGCGAAAGACUAAUCG